rnacentral:rRNA from 1 species
AUUGAACGCUGGCGGCAGGCCUAACACAUGCAAGUCGAGCGGAAACGACACUAACAAUCCUUCGGGUGCGUUAAUGGGCGUCGAGCGGCGGACGGGUGAGUAAUGCCUAGGAAAUUGCCUUGAUGUGGGGGAUAACCAUUGGAAACGAUGGCUAAUACCGCAURAUGCCUACGGGCCAAAGAGGGGGACCUUCGGGCCUCUCGCGUCAAGAUAUGCCUAGGUGGGAUUAGCUAGUUGGUGAGGUAAUGGCUCACCAAGGCGACGAUCCCUAGCUGGUCUGAGAGGAUGAUCAGCCACACUGGAACUGAGACACGGUCCAGACUCCUACGGGAGGCAGCAGUGGGGAAUAUUGCACAAUGGGCGCAAGCCUGAUGCAGCCAUGCCGCGUGUAUGAAGAAGGCCUUCGGGUUGUAAAGUACUUUCAGUUGUGAGGAAGGGGGUGUUGUUAAUAGCRVCAUCUCUUGACGUUAGCAACAGAAGAAGCACCG